CUGAUUGACACUUGGGAGCCAGGGUAGAACAAAGUUAAAGUGACACUCUGGGCACCAAUACUAGUCUAAAGCAUUUGUCAUAAAGUCACACCCCCUUACACCAGGAAAAAAAAUCCUUAUAGAAAGGUAUGCACAUAGCUCAGGCACUGACCAGGACUGAAUGAUCUGAACUACUAAGCAACCUGCAUUACAAGGACACCCAAGGAUAUCACUACUUAUUUGUACUUCCCCUGACUGCAGUCAGGUUGGUAAUUAGAAACUGCUCACUCUGUGCUAUUGAGGCUG